CCUACGGGAGGCAGCAGUGGGGAAUAUUGCACAAUGGGCGAAAGCCUGAUGCAGCGACGCCGCGUGAGGGAUGACGGCCUUCGGGUUGUAAACCUCUUUCAGCAGGGAAGAAGCGAAAGUGACGGUACCUGCAGAAGAAGCGCCGGCUAACUACGUGCCAGCAGCCGCGGUAAUACGUAGGGCGCAAGCGUUGUCAGGAAUUAUUGGGCGUAAAGAGCUCGUAGGCGGCUUGUCACGUCGGGUGUGAAAGCCCGGGGCUUAACCCCGGGUCUGCAUUCGAUACGGGCUAGCUAGAGUGUGGUAGGGGAGAUCGGAAUUCCUGGUGUAGCGGUGAAAUGCGCAGAUAUCAGGAGGAACACCGGUGGCGAAGGCGGAUCUCUGGGCCAUUACUGACGCUGAGGAGCGAAAGCGUGGGGAGCGAACAGGAUUAGAUACCCUGGUAGUCCACGCCGUAAACGGUGGGAACUAGGUGUUGGCGACAUUCCACGUCGUCGGUGCCGGCAGCUACGACAUUAAGUUACCCGUCCGUCGGGUAGGUACGGCCGCGAACGGACGUAAACCUACGAAACGGAAGUUAGACGGCGUGAGACGUGCCGAACGGACGACGACGAGGGAGGUAGG
rnacentral:rRNA from 1 species